rnacentral:lncRNA from 10 species
GGUGGGGGCAAAUUCUUGAGCUUGAUGUGUAGGGAAGGGAGGGGGGCCUGAAUAAUCCUUGAGGAGUAGUAGAAUAGCAGAUGGAACACUGAGAAGUUAUUUCCUUGAGGAUAGAUUUCCACGAUGGAAAGGAAAUGAGAGGUUUUAAGAGGCGGGCUAGUGAUCUGUACUAUAGCAUAGCCUGCCUUUGCUGGUGUGUGGUGAUUAGGCCUGGUGGAACCGCCAUUAAUAAAUCAAGCAUGAUCAGGGUGAGGAACAGGAAAGAAGGAAAUAUGGGGAAAUGAGGUGAAUGUCAGGUGGAUCAGAGAGAUACAGUCAUGAGGGUCAGGUGUGGUUUCCAGAAUAAUGUGGGAGACCGGAUUGAAGUCCCGGUCAGGAACAAUGGUAAUUGUGGGACUUAACAAAGAGUGAGUACAGCUGAAGGAGCCGGGGAGCAGAAAGUAUAUGCAUCAGGUAUGAGGAAGAAAAUAGAUUUUGGAAGUUAUGAGAAAUGUAGAGAGUAAGUUGAGCAUAGUUUGUGAUUUUGAGGGCCUCUAAAAGUAUUAGGGUGGCAGCAGCCGCUGCAGGGAGACAUGAUGGCUAGGCUAAAACAGUAAGGUCAAGUUGUUUGGACAGAAAGGCUAUAGGGUGUGGUCCUGGCUCUUUUGUAAGAAUUCUGACUGCACUAUGCCUAGGAAGGGAAGGAGUUGUUGUUUUGUAAGGGAUUGAGGUUUGGGAGAUUAAUCGGACACAAUCAGCAGGGAAAGCACAUGUGUUUUUAUGAGAAUUGUGCCGAGAUAGGUAACAGAUGAGGAUGAAAUUUGAGCUUGACUGAAGUAAUGGGGGCUGUCUAUGAAGACUUGCGGCAGUACAGCCCAGGUAAUUUGCUGAACCUAAUGGGUGUCAGGGUCAGUCUAAGUGAAAGCAAAGAGAGUCUGGGAUGAGGCGUGCAGGGGAAUAGUAAAAAAAGCAUCUUUAAGAUCGAGAACGGAAUAGUGAGUUGUGGAGGAAGGUAUUGAGGACAGAAGAGUGUACGGGUUGGGCACUACAGGGUGGAUAGGCAAAACAAUUUGGUUGAUAAGGCGCAGAUCCUGAACUAAUCUGUAAGACUUGUCCGGUUUUUGGACAGGUAAAAUGGGGAAAUUGUAAGGAGAGUUUAUAGGUUUUAGAAGCCCAUGCUGUAGCAGGCGGGUGGUAACAGGCUUUAAUCCUUUUAAAGCAUGCUGUGGGAUGGGAUAUUGGUGUUGAGCCGGGUAAGAGUGAUUAGGUUUUAAUGAGAUGGUAAUGGACAUGUGAUGGUAAUGGGCAUGUCAUCGGUUGCAAGGGAAGGAGUAGAGAUGUCCCAUACUUGUGGGUUAAGGUGGGGGGAUAUGAGAGGAAGAUGCGAAGGAGGCUUUGGGUUGGGAAGAAGUGCGGCAAUGAGAUGCGGCUGUAGUCCAGGAAUAGUCAGGGAAGCAGAUGAUUUGGUUAAAAUAUUUUGGCCUAAUAAGUGAACUGGGCAGGUGGGGAUAACUAAAAAAGAGUGCAUAAAAGAGUGUUGUCCAAGUUGGCACAAGAGUGGGGGAGUUUUCAGGGGUUUAGAAGCCUGGCCGUCAAUACCCACAACAGUUAUGGGGGCAAGGGAAACAGGCCCUUGAAAAGAAGGUAAUGUGGAGUGGGUAGCCUCUGUAUUGACUAAGGGGAUGGACUUACCUUCCACUGUGAGAGUUACCCGAAACUCGGCGUCCUUGAUGGUCUACGGGGGUUCCGAGGUGAUCGAGCAGCAUCAGUCUUCAGCCGCUAAACCGAGAAGGAGUCCGUCAGAGAGCCUUGGGCCAGAGUUCCAGAGGCUCUGGGAGUAGCUUCCAGGUGAGUUGAACAGUCUGAUUUCCAGUGGGGUCCCGCAAAGAUGCGACAUGGCUUAGGAGGAAUCCUGGGCUGUAGGCAUUCCUUGGCCUGGUGGUCAGAUUUCUGGCACUUGUAGCAAGCUCCUGGGGGAGGAGGUUCUGGAGGAAUGCCUGGCUGCUGCGGUUCAGGUGUUUGGAAGUUCUUGUGUGCUGGAGGUGUGGCUGGGGUUUGUCUCACAGUGGAGGCAAGUAAUUGCAACUUUUUUCUAUUAUUGUACACCUUGAAGGCGAGGUUAAUUGAAUCCUGUUGUGGGGUUUGAGGGCCGGAAUUUAAUUUUUGGAGUUUUAUUUAAUGUCAGGAGCAGAUUGGGUAAUAAAAUGUAUUUUGAG